CAGCCGUUGGGAGAUGCGAGGGAGGCUAUCAUUUCAUGCUUAUCCAGUCGGAGCAGCCAGCAGCUGCGAGUCUGGGACCAACACUCCUGGGAGGCACGGACAGGACAGACAGCUCCGGGUGGGUGACUGCCCAGUCCUUUCUUUUCUCCAUCUCUUCGCCUUGUCCUGCGCGUCCAAUUCUGAAGUCCCGUUUGAAACGCGAAAAGCUUCAGGAAUCAUAUACUACGAGUGAAAGCUAGUUCGCGUGAAAUUAAUUCUUGUGAAGCAAAUAAGUGGAGUAGUCCUUAUUCUAUCUAUUCCAAACCAGAGGCCUUUCGACUGGUUCAGAGCUUCAUGCUGCUCGCGGUUAUCAGGAUCGCAGCCGUUCCUUUCUGCCAUGAGUAGAACUUAUAGUAAGGAUCGUUCUCGGUUGAUGUGGCCUGCAUUCGGUAUACGGAAUACCUUUUCUGAGUACCAAAUCGAUGCAUAUUAAUGAAUUGAUUCUCCCAUUUCAUGAUCUGGCUCCAUGGGUUUAUACUGUAGGAACUGCUAGUUUUCUGUAUCCGUCCAUGCCGUAAUCCCGUCCUUUUGUGUAAACGCCUUGAUUAUUGUGCAAUCCGAGCCUGCCAUACGAGCUGAUAAAAUUAUUCAAGCUAAGGGAGAGCAGGUGUUUUAACUUACUAAACUACAAGGAUCACGUCAGAGAAAUUGGUGCGAGGCUUGCUAUGGCUCAACCUGAGGUCGUAGACGUCCAUCGUGUGAAAGACUCUGAGGCCGUCGUCGGCCCGGUCCAUGAUGCAGGCAAGCUGAUGUCGCCGGGGGCAAUGCCAUUCGCCACCAUAAGGUUGAACACAUCCAGUGCCUCGACGCCAUGGCCGUGGCCCUUAUAAGCCUGGAUCAUUGAACUGUACGUAGAUGGCUAUGGAGCGUGUACGUGCAGCAGUUCCCAACGAGCGCUUGGCUAUUGAGCUCAAUGGCAAAGGUGAGGGGAUGGGGAAGGCGGUCGGGGCGAGGAGCGAUCGCAGAGUCGCAAUUUCGGUCAAAAAAAGAAGUGAACACGGUGUCACAAUCCCACAGAACUGGAUCAAGGCAUGGAGCAGGAUGAACUGUCCGUCCGAAGGGCAAGGCUCAAUGUACAAUUGGAAGCUUUCUGAAAAGAAAAAAAAAGUUGGAGGCCACGAACUGAACAACGUCAAGCAUUUUGGCGCCUGAUCUAGCCCCUCAAAGUUUGAGGCUCCCCAUUACAGAGUAUCUGAACAAGCACUCACUCUUAUUCCCAAACCUGGCCUUUCAGAACUGAAAGAACACCAGUGACACACGGUAAAAGCUUCUUAACACUCACAGACCACGUUUACAAAGCUCCAUGGAAUGAUUGCCGAGAUCUUGCCCACCAAUCCACAUCGCUGAAACGUCCACAUAAUAUAUUACUACUAGAAAAU